rnacentral:rRNA from 1 species
UACGUAGAGUACGAGCGUUGUCCGGAAUUAUUGGGCGUAAAGAGCUCGUAGGUGGUUGGUCACGUCUGCUGUGGAAACGCAACGCUUAACGUUGCGCGGGCAGUGGGUACGGGCUGACUAGAGUGCAGUAGGGGAGUCUGGAAUUCCUGGUGUAGCGGUGAAAUGCGCAGAUAUCAGGAGGAACACCGGUGGCGAAGGCGGGACUCUGGGCUGUGACUGACACUGAGGAGCGAAAGCAUGGGGAGCGAACAGGAUUAGA